CCUCACCCAUUGCAAGGUUCAUGACUGAGGACCCUGUGAAAAAAGAUGGGUUAACAAGAGAAAAGCAAACAAAUUUAUUUAAUGUAAGUUUUAUGUGACAUGGGAGCCCUCAGAAAUGAAGAUCCAAGGAAAUAGUUCUGUGGUCAGCAGUCUCGGUGGUCCUGCUCAGAGUCUCUCCGGUGGCUGCAGUGGGGGUGUCAGCAGCGCGAGGGGCACCUGAAGGCCGACUGCUCGGGCUGCAGGACCUGCCUCCACGUCGGCUCCCUCACGUCACCACUGGCAGGAGGCCCCAGCUCCUCGCGACUUGUUGGCAGGACGCCACUUGGCCUCACGUAGACUGUUUCAAUGUUCGCCACAGUGAGUUAGCCACCAAUGAGUAAGGAGAAAGCAGGUGCUUUUCACGACCUACUCUGAAGUUGCGCACUGUUGCUUCUGCCUUAUCCUAUUCACUAUGUCACUAAGUCCAGGCUGCAAUCAAAAGGAGGACACACUCCUUUGGAAGGGAGAAAUAGCAACUAAUUUAUGGACAAAUAUUUAAACCAUCAUGAUCUAC